AUGCAAGUCGAACGGCUAUAGGAUGGGGACCAAAGACUAGAAUUUUAUAAAAAAUUAGAGUUGAAACAAUCUGGUUUUUCUAGCAUCUAGUUUCUGGCCUCUAUCCUCUAGCAGUGGCGGACGGGUGAGCUAACACGUGGAUAACCUGCCGAUAAUCGGGGAAUAACGGAUAGAAAUAUCCGCUAAAACCGCAUAAGCUCACAAGAUGGCAUCAUCAUGUGAGAAAAUAUUUAUAGAUUAUCGAGGGGUCCGCGUCCGAUUAGCUAGUUGGCGGGGUAAAGGCCCACCAAGGCAAUGAUCGGUAGCCGGCCUGAGAGGGCGAACGGCCACAUUGGGACUGAGACACGGCCCAAACUCCUACGGGAGGCAGCAGUGGGGAAUAUUGCGCAAUGGGCGAAAGCCUGACGCAGCAACGCCGCGUGAAGGAAGAAGGUCCUCUGGAUUGUAAACUUCUAUCGAUGGGGAAGAAUAAAUGACGGUACCCAAGUAAGAAGCACCGGCUAACUACGUGCCAGCAGCCGCGGUAAUACGUAGGGUGCAAGCGUUAUCCGGAAUUACUGGGCGUAAAGGGUGAGUAGGCGUCCGAUUAGGUCAUAUGUGAAACUCCAAGGCUUAACCUUGGAACUGCAUAAGAAACCGGUUGGAUAGAGUGCAGGAGAGGCAAGCGGAAUUCCUAGUGUAGCGGUGAAAUGCGUAGAUAUUA
rnacentral:rRNA from 1 species